rnacentral:lncRNA from 1 species
GGGACCAAGAGUGUGCAGUUAAAUCCAGUAGUCUCACUGCGAAUAGCCAAUGACACCGCAGAUCAAAGGACUACUCACAUCACUGCCGCAUCAAGAAGACCACGAUGAGUGAGUAGACAUCCAUAUGGUUCUCGUGUUGGUCAUGCUCAGUGCAAGUUGUUCUCUAAUAACCAUCCACACCCUCAUUCUAGUGUCUCUACACUGCAAAUUCGAGACUCAUCUGCCCAC